rnacentral:rRNA from 1 species
GAAUUCGCCCUUAGAGUUUCCUUUUGGGUCAGGAUGAACGCUGGCGGCGUGCUUAACACAUGCAAGUCGAACGGAGAUGUUGAUUUCGGUUGACAUCUUAGUGGCGCACGGGUGAGUAACACGUGAAUAACCUGACCCAAAGAGGGGGAUAACAGCUGGAAACAGGUGCUAAUACCGCAUAAGACCACAAUGCCGCAUGGCGAAGGGGUCAAAGAGGAUCGCUUUGGGAGGGGUUCGCGUCCCAUUAGGUAGUAGGCGGGGUAAAGGCCCACCUAGCCGACGAUGGGUAGCCGAGCUGAGAGGCUGAUCGGCCACACUGGAACUGAGACACGGUCCAGACUCCUACGGGAGGCAGCAGUGGGGAAUAUUGGGCAAUGGGCGCAAGCCUGACCCAGCAACGCCGCGUGAGGGAAGAAGGUUUUCGGAUUGUAAACCUCUGUCGCAGAAGACGAAGGAAGUGACGGUAAUCUGUGAGGAAGCCCCGGCUAACUACGUGCCAGCAGCCGCGGUAAUACGUAGGGGGCGAGCGUUGUCCGGAAUUACUGGGCGUAAAGGGAGCGUAGGCGGUUAAUUAAGUUAGAUGUGAAAUACCCGGGCUUAACUUGGGGGGUGCAUCUAAUACUGGUAAACUAGAGUACAGGAGAGGAAAGCGGAAUUCCUAGUGUAGCGGUGAAAUGCAUAGAUAUUAGGAGGAACAUCGGUGGCGAAGGCGGCUUUCUGGACUGACACUGACGCUGAGGCUCGAAAGCGUGGGGAGCAAACAGGAUUAGAUACCCUGGUAGUCCACGCUGUAAACGAUGAAU